AAACCAACAGGGAUUGCCUUAGUAACGGCGAGUGAAGCGGCAAGAGCUCAAAUUUGAAAUCUAGCACUUUCAGUGUUCGAGUUGUAAUUUGAAGAAGGUAUCUUUGGAGUUGGCCCCUGUCUAUGUUCCUUGGAACAGGACGUCACAGAGGGUGAGAAUCCCGUGCGAUGGGGAGACCAAUUCUUUGUAAAGUUCCUUCGAAGAGUCGAGUUGUUUGGGAAUGCAGCUCUAAGUGGGUGGUAAAUUCCAUCUAAAGCUAAAUAUUGGCGAGAGACCGAUAGCGAACAAGUACAGUGAUGGAAAGAUGAAAAGAACUUUGAAAAGAGAGUGAAAAAGUACGUGAAAUUGUUGAAAGGGAAGGGCUUUUGAUCAGACUUGGUGUUUAACGAUCUCUUCUCCUUGUGGGAGGGGCUCUUGUUUUAUACUGGGCCAGCAUCGGUUUGGAUGGCAGGAUAAUGACAUUGGAACGUGGCUUCAUUCGUGAAGUGUUAUAGCCUUUGUUGAUACUGCCUAUCUAGACCGAGGACUGCGUCUUGACUA
rnacentral:rRNA from 1 species